rfam:Picea glauca, whole genome shotgun sequence.
GUGCAUGCCUACAACAUUAUUAAUGCAUCAGAUCCCAUUAGAACUCUACAGUUAAGCAUGCUUGGGCUAGAGUAGUACUAGAAUGGGUGACCUCUCAGGAAGUCCUAGUGUUUUACAUG